rnacentral:rRNA from 1 species
UACGGAGGAUGCGAGCGUUAUCCGGAUUUAUUGGGUUUAAAGGGUGCGUAGGCGGGAUGCCAAGUCAGCGGUAAAAAUGCGGUGCUCAACGCCGUCGAGCCGUUGAAACUGUCGUUCUUGAGUGGGCGAGAAGUAUGCGGAAUGCGUGGUGUAGCGGUGAAAUGCAUAGAUAUCACGCAGAACUCCGAUUGCGAAGGCAGCAUACCGGCGCCCUACUGACGCUGAGGCACGAAAGCGUGGGUAUCGAACAGG